rnacentral:rRNA from 1 species
UACGUAGGCAGCGAGCGUUUGUUCGGAAUUACUGGGCGUAAAGAGUGUGUAGGCGGUGCUCCCAGUCUGUUGUGAAAUCUCCCGGCUUAACUGGGAGGGUGCAGCGGAAACUAGAGUGCUAGAGGGUGGGAGAGGUAAGCGGAAUUCCUGGUGUAGCGGUGAAAUGCGUAGAUAUCAGGAGGAACACCGAUGGCGAAGGCAGGUCUCUGGGCAGUAACUGACGCUGAGGAGCGAAAGCGUGGGGAGCGAACAGG